AGCUCCAUUAAUGCCGUUGUCCAAGAAACUGCAAAGGAAGGAUAUAACCUUAGCUGACAGCAUGGUGUGGAUUCAAACAGCAUCUGUAAUUAUUGACAAUUUGAAAGCUAGGUAACAUAUUUUGUAACAUUUUAUUUAUAAAAAAAACUAGAAAGUAUUGAUUAAAAUUUUAUCUAGUGUCAUUUUCUACCCCAUACUGUUGACUACUGGCUAUCAUUGAUAGUGAUUUGCACAUAGGCCAUAUCUUAAUUAACUCAUAUGAUUACAAAAUUUUGUAUGAAAAAAAACAACAACAAGAAAGUGCGAAAAGUUGAUGAAGUCUUGGCAACUUAGGCUUUGUCUGUGGUUGAACUCCGAGGAAAAACACCUGUAAUGGCUUACAAGGAGACCCAGAUAGAUAAUAUAGUCAAAGCCAUGCAGACCAGGUUCAAAUUGGAUGAUGUUACAUCACCUAUAGUGCAGGCAACGAAAGUGUUGAACUUUAGUAAAUGGCACAUGCUGAGAAAUGAGAAAGAGAAGCUUGCAGCGAGAUUCAGUUUCUGGCUGGCAAUACUACAAGAGACUAUUGACAGUUGACCCUACCUUCAAGCAGGAUGAUGUUUUAAAACAGUGGCAGAGGGUCGAAUUGUUAGCAAAAAGCCUGUUCACAGACCAGCAGAGGAAUGACUUGGGAAGAUGUUUAUGAUGAGGAGCUAAAGCCCUCGUGCCGUUAUGCUCCCUUCGGGCCGAUUAUCACUGCCUGGUCCGGCUAAGCCGUGUAUUAGUUUAUGUUGCGAAGCUGAGAACGCCGGGAGCGUGAGCCUUGGCGAGCGCUUUCAUUGUUCGAGCCGAGCAACAUAAACUUCUCUGUAUUCAACGCUAACCUAGUAUUUUAUUUAUCCCAUUUUUU